GCUGGCGGCAUGCUUAACACAUGCAAGUCGAACGGAGACGAUGGAAGCUUGCUUCCAGGCGUCGAGUGGCGGACGGGUGAGUAACGCGUAGGAAUCUGCCUGAUAGUGGGGGAUAGCCCGGAGAAAUCCGGAUUAAUACCGCAUAGUCUAUUCGUAGUAAAGGGGGCCUCUAUUUAUAAGCUCUCGCUAUCAGAUGAGCCUGCGUCAGAUUAGCUUGUUGGUGAGGUAAAAGCUCACCAAGGCAACGAUCUGUAGCUGGUCUGAGAGGAUGAUCAGCCACACUGGGACUGAGACACGGCCCAGUCUCCUACGGGAGGCAGCAGUGGGGAAUAUUGGACAAUGGGGGCAACCCUGAUCCAGCAAUGCCGCGUGUGUGAAGAAGGCCUGAGGGUUGUAAAGCACUUUCAAUUGUGAAGAAAGGUUAAUAGUUAAUACCUAUUGACUGUGACGUUAACUUUAGAAGAAGCACCGGCUAACUCCGUGCCAGCAGCCGCGGUAAUACGGAGGGUGCAGCGUUAAUCGGAAUUACUGGGCGUAAAGCGUGCGUAG
rnacentral:rRNA from 1 species